rnacentral:rRNA from 1 species
UACGUAGGGUGCAAGCGUAUCCGGAUUCACUGGGUUUAAAGGGUGCGUAGGUGGGUUGGUAAGUCAGUGGUGAAAUCUCCAGGCUUAACUUGGAAACUGCCAUUGAUACUAUCAAUCUUGAAUACCGUGGAGGUCAGCGGAAUAUGUCAUGUAGCGGUGAAAUGCUUAGAUAUGACAUAGAACACCUAUUGCGAAGGCAGCUUACUACGCAUAUAUUGACGCUGAGGCACGAAAGCGUGGGGAUCAAACAGG